rnacentral:RNase_P_RNA from 1 species
AGCCAGGUAACCGCUCCCGGCCAAUUCCGGCGCAGGGGGAGGAACUUCCGGACUCCACAGGGCAGUGUGCCGCUCGAAAGGGCGGGGGAAUUUCCACGGAAAGUGCCACAGAAAAUAAACCGCCCGCAAGGGUAAGGGUGAAAAGGUGCGGUAAGAGCGCACCGCGCGCGAGGUAACAAGCGCGGCAAGGCAAACCCCACACGGAGCAAGGCCAAGCCGGUCCACAGGUGCCCGCCUUCGUGACCAAGUAGGCCGCUUAGAGUAAUGGUUACCACCCAGUUUUACUAAUCGGCUGGGACAGAAUCCGGGGUAUCGGCUGC